rnacentral:sRNA from 1 species
ACACUGAGAGAAAUGAAACAAGCAAACAAAU